AGUGAACGCUGGCGGUAGGCCUAACACACGCAAGUCGAACGGCAGCACAGUAAGAGCUUGCUCUUACGGGUGGCGAGUGGCGGACGGGUGAGGAAUACAUCGGAAUCUACUUUUUCGUGGGGGAUAACGUAGGGAAACUUACGCUAAUACCGCAUACGACCUACGGGUGAAAGCAGGGGAUCUUCGGACCUUGCGCGAUUGAAUGAGCCGAUGUCGGAUUAGCUAGUUGGCGGGGUAAAGGCCCACCAAGGCGACGAUCCGUAGCUGGUCUGAGAGGAUGAUCAGCCACACUGGAACUGAGACACGGUCCAGACUCCUACGGGAGGCAGCAGUGGGGAAUAUUGGACAAUGGGCGCAAGCCUGAUCCAGCCAUACCGCGUGGGUGAAGAAGGCCUUCGGGUUGUAAAGCCCUUUUGUUGGGAAAGUAAAGCAGCAGGUUAAUACCCCGCUGUUCUGACGGUACCCAAAGAAUAAGCACCGGCUAACUUCGUG
rnacentral:rRNA from 1 species